rnacentral:rRNA from 1 species
CCUACGGGUGGCAGCAGUGAGGAAUAUUGGUCAAUGUGCGCGAGCCUGAACCAGCCAAGUCGCGUGAGGGAGGACGGCCCUACGGGUUGUAAACCUCUUUUGCCGGGGAGCAACGGGCGUCACGUGUGGCGCCCCUGAGAGUACCCGGAGACAAAGCAUCGGCUAACUCCGUGCCAGCAGCCGCGGUAAUACGGAGGAUGCGAGCGUUAUCCGGAUUUAUUGGGUUUAAAGGGUGCGUAGGCGGAUCGUUAAGUCAGUGGUCAAAUUGAGGGGCUCAACCCCUUCCCGCCAUUGAAACUGGCGCUCUUGAGUGGAAGAGAAGUAGGCGGAAUGCGUGGUGUAGCGGUGAAAUGCAUAGAUAUCACGCAGAACCCCGAUUGCGAAGGCAGCAUGCCGUGCCGCCACUGACGCUGAGGCACGAAAGCGCGGGGAUCGAACAGGAUUAGAUACCCUGGUAGUC